AUUAUGGUCUUCUUGCAAUUUCUUUUCCUUGGUCUUUCAUUCCUCUCACUUCUCCGACUUCUUACAAGAAAGAGGAAGGGAAAAACUGUAGCUCCCAAGCUCCCACCAGGCCCAGCCAAGCUUCCCAUAAUUGGAAACCUGCACCAAUUGGGGAAGCACACGCACCACUCCCUCUGGCAACUAUCUCAACAACAUGCCCCCUUAUGUAUCUGAAACUUGGUAGAAUACCC
rnacentral:lncRNA from 1 species